rnacentral:miRNA from 1 species
AGAGUAAUGGACUUGGAGUCAGAAGGUCUGUGUGGAACUUGAGCUCCACUGUGCACUAUCUCUGGCCAUAUUACUUUC